rnacentral:rRNA from 1 species
UAAGGAAUAUUGGACAAUGGUCGCAAGACUGAUCCAGCCAUGCCGCGUGCAGGAAGACGGCCCUAUGGGUUGUAAACUGCUUUUGUACCAGAGAAAACCUAUCUACGUGUAGAUAGCUUAUAGUAUGGUAAGAAUAAGCAUCGGCUAACUUCGUGCCAGCAGCCGCGGUAAGACGAAGGAUGCAAGCGUUAUCCGGAUUCAUUGGGUUUAAAGGGUGCGUAGGCGGGCUUGUAAGUCAGUGGUGAAAUCUCUCAGCUUAACUGAGAAACUGCCAUUGAUACUGCAGGCCUAGAGUAUAGAUGACGUUGGCGGAAUAUGACAUGUAGUGGUGAAAUACUUAGAUAUGUCAUAGAACACCGAUUGCGAAGGCAGCUAACGAAACUAUAACUGACGCUGAGGCACGAAAGUGCGGGGAUCAAACA